CCUACGGGGGGCAGCAGUGAGGAAUAUUGGUCAAUGGGCGCGAGCCUGAACCAGCCAAGUAGCGUGAAGGAUGACUGCCCUACGGGUUGUAAACUUCUUUUAUUAAGGAAGAAUGUGAGGCACGUGUGCCGUUUUGUCUGUACUUAAUGAAUAAGGAUCGGCUAACGCCGUGCCAGCAGCCGCGGUAAUACGGAGGAUCCGAGCGUUAUCCGGAUUUAUUGGGUUUAAAGGGAGCGUAGAUGGGUUGUUAAGUCAGUUGUGAAAGUUUGCGGCUCAACCGUAAAAUUGCAAUUGAUACUGGCAGCCUUGAGUACAGAUGAGGUAGGCGGAAUACGUGGUGUAGCGGUGAAAUGCUUAGAUAUGACGAAGAACUCCGAUUGCGAAGGCAGCCUACUAAGCUGCCACUGACAUUGAUGCUCGAGAGUGUGGGUAUCAAACAGGAUUAGAUACCCCAGUAGUC
rnacentral:rRNA from 1 species